AUUAUACAAUGAUGAAUUAUCAUAUGUUAGACUAAUGAAAAAUUUUGAAUAAAAUUCGAUUCACUGAGCUCAAU
rfam:Drosophila grimshawi strain TSC#15287-2541.00 scaffold_15110 genomic scaffold, whole genome shotgun sequence.